rnacentral:rRNA from 1 species
CCUACGGGAGGCUGCAGUGGGGAAUAUUGGACAAUGGGGGCAACCCUGAUCCAGCCAUGCCGCGUGUGUGAAGAAGGCCCUCGGGUUGUAAAGCACUUUCAGUGAGGAAGAACGCCUGGUGGUUAAUACCCAUCAGGAAAGACAUCACUCACAGAAGAAGCACCGGCUAACUCCGUGCCAGCAGCCGCGGUAAUACGGAGGGUGCGAGUGUUAAUCGGAAUUACUGGGCGUAAAGCGCGCGUAGGUGGCUUGAUAAGCCGGUUGUGAAAGCCCCGGGCUCAACCUGGGAACGGCAUCCGGAACUGUCAAGCUAGAGUGCAGGAGAGGAAGGUAGAAUUCCCGGUGUAGCGGUGAAAUGCGUAGAGAUCGGGAGGAAUACCAGUGGCGAAGGCGGCCUUCUGGACUGACACUGACACUGAGGUGCGAAAGCGUGGGUAGCAAACAGGAUUAGAUACCCUAGUAGUC